rnacentral:rRNA from 1 species
UGAAGCUGGAAUCGCUAGUAAUCGCGGAUCAGAAUGCCGCGGUGAAUACGUUCCCGGGUCUUGUACACACCGCCCGUCACACCAUGGGAGUCGGAAAUGCCCGAAGUCUGUGACCCAACCUACGGGAGGGAGCAGCCGAAGGCAGGUCGGAUGACUGGGGUGAAGUCGUAACAAGGUAAC